AUAUUUACCUGGCAGGGGAGAUACCAUGAUCACGAAUGUGGUUUUCCCAGGAUGAGGCUUAUCCAUUGGUCUCCCAAUGUGCUGAUCCCUGAGAUUUCCCCAAAUGUGGGAAACUUGACUGCAUAAUUUCUGGGAGUAGGGGAUUGUGUUUGAGCUUUCCCCUG
rnacentral:snRNA from 1 species